UUUAUAGAGACAACAUGCAGAGGAAGAAGCUCCACUGCGCAUUAUCCCAAGGUCUGGAGAGUCUAUGAUGUAGCUGACCUGAAGGUGAAUUUCCUGGGAUGUCCACUCCUGGGAAAAUUUUGGUACACACCAGAAUGCUCCAGACCAGCAAACUGCCAAAGCCUUUAAAGACUGGGUCAUACUUGCUGAUCAUCAAUUAAUCAAGUGCAUGACCGGCAUUCACCAGUACCAGCUAAGAGGCUACCAACAAGGAAACACACACAGAAACCAUCGAUCAAUAAAACCUCUUUGUAUGAGUCUUAUUCAGAUAGUGUCAAAGCUACCCAUGUGUAAAUAUAUACUGUUUAUCUAAGUAAUGAAGAGACUCUUCAAUGUUCUUUGGCACAACAGAAGAAGCUAUUGGGGGGCGGGGGUCCCUUGAGCCUAUAGUAACAUUGGGUUAUAUUAAAACAUACUCUCUAGUAAUUACAUUGUAUUUUAAAUCUGUAUUUCAGUUGCCAAAGUUACA